rnacentral:rRNA from 1 species
GAUGAACGCUGGCGGCGUGCCUAAUACAUGCAAGUCGAGCGAACAGACGAGGAGCUUGCUCCUCUGACGUUAGCGGCGGACGGGUGAGUAACACGUGGAUAACCUACCUAUAAGACUGGGAUAACUUCGGGAAACCGGAGCUAAUACCGGAUAAUAUAUUGAACCGCAUGGUUCAAUAGUGAAAGACGGUUUUGCUGUCACUUAUAGAUGGAUCCGCGCCGCAUUAGCUAGUUGGUAAGGUAACGGCUUACCAAGGCAACGAUGCGUAGCCGACCUGAGAGGGGGAUCGGCCACACUGGAACUGAGACACGGUCCAGACUCCUACGGGAGGCAGCAGUAGGGAAUCUUCCGCAAUGGGCGAAAGCCUGACGGAGCAACGCCGCAUGAGUGAUGAAGGUCUUCGGAUCGUAAAACUCUGUUAUUAGGGAAGAACAAAUGUGUAAGUAACUAUGCACGUCUUGACGGUACCUAAUCAGAAAGCCACGGCUAACUACGUG